rnacentral:lncRNA from 1 species
ACUUUGACUCUAGGACUCUUUAUGACUGAGUGAGUAACAAAACAAAAUUCUCUGGUUCAGACUUGAGAGAGAAUUGUUAACCAACAGCCUGCAAUAUGCAUUGGGUGAUUGAUUGAAUUGUUAGUUUGAGGAAAAGAUCUGGGGUACUCGAAAUUGGUGAAGGAACCACUUAUUCAGUUAUUCAUCUCUGUCCAAAAAUGAAUAAAACUAAUCAAACAACGGAAAAGAUCACACAGUCAAUCCACUGAUGCAAAGAGUGUCAAAUUAAAGUCAGAACAGCAAGCAAGUACUAAAGAUCUGAUUUUUGUAAAUCAAACAUGUACAAAUAGAUUAAGGAAAAGAGGCCGAGAGAUCGCGCCCCAUGAACAAAAACCCAUGAUCAAAACAAACAUUUAGAUAGAAAAAAACACUCGUUUAUGAGAAAAAUUGAGGAGAAAAGGAAAACCUGCAUCCGAGAAUACCCAACUCCGAUUUCUCCGAGCACCAACGGAAUAAAGUCAAUUUAUGAAAUCUCUGUCCGUAUGAACCCUAAUGAGAUAGAUAUAUAAAUAAGCAUGUCUGAGAGAAAAUCUAUCCACACAUAGAGGAUGGGAAGAAAGUCUUCAACCCACAACGUUGACCAUAGAAUCGGGAUCCAAACCAAAGAAAGGAUUUCCUAGUGGAGAAUAAACUCCCAAAACUCUCCGCAGACGGCAGUGGAAGAUUAUUUUUUCUUUUUUGGACAAUUU